GAAAGAGAGAAGACGCCCUCCCGACGUCCGUCACAAGCGAAGGAUGAAUCAAGAUGGAAGUAGCACUAGCGUUCUUCUGGCUGCUUCAUCGGUGCCUCCUCAACUCGUCAACUUCGCCAAGCUCCAGGGAGCCUCUUCUUGGUACAAGAUCAGUCCAGCCUUGGCGCUCGGUUCUCUGAGAAGCCAAUUAUGUUCCAGAAUUGCCUUCUGGCAUUGAGGGAGGAAGAUGCCUUUGACACGGUACACUUGAUUGUGAUGCUCACAGAGUGAAUUCCCCGUUGCCAUCGCCUGGGAGUUCCACUGCGUUGUAAAACGUCUUGCACUGCUUGCAUUCCACGCGGAGUGCUUCCUUCUUGGCUCAAACUUCGGCACAACUUAUCUUGGUC